GGCCUUGUAGCGAAGUAGUCAACGCGUUGCCCUCCGAAGGCAGAGAUCGAGGGUUCAAAUCCCUCCAAGGUCG